CAGGCGGACCAAUCAUCGCAUCGGGACUGGAUCAGACAGCUUGGUUUUAUCGUCCCAACUCUGUUUUCGUUGACAGUAAAUGGAGAGUCUGGGUAGAGGUUAGACUUUAUCCACCUGUGAAAGGAUAUACUACUGGAUGGAUGCUGGUUAAGGAUCAAUUCGGCACGUAUUUUACGAAUCCGCGUAUAGGUAGCUAGACAAAUCGAAUUUCGUGAAUGCGAUCAUAGGAUCCAAGAAUUCAAAUUUUUGAACAGGAGCCCCACCUACUUGGGGCUCUUUGGCUUAC
rnacentral:misc_RNA from 1 species